rnacentral:rRNA from 1 species
AGAAGGUGACAAUCCUGUACGCGACAUCUUGACGAACUCUACUAGCAUCCUGAGUACGGCGGGACACGAGGAAUCCCGUCGGAAUCCGCCAGGACCAUCUGGCAAGGCUAAAUACUACCUAGUGACCGAUAGUGAACCAGUACCGUGAGGGAAAGGUGAAAAGAACCCCGGGAGGGGAGUGAAAGAGUACCUGAAACCGUGUGCUUACAAGUAGUCAGAGCCCGUUAAUGGGUGAUGGCGUGCCUUUUGUAGAAUGAACCGGCGAGUUACGUUUACAUGCGAGGUUAAGAUGAAGAGUCGGAGCCGUAGCGAAAGCGAGUCUGAAUAGGGCG